rnacentral:rRNA from 1 species
UUGAUGGCGACCGGCGCACGGGUGAGUAACACGUAUCCAACCUGCCGAUGGCUCGGGGAUAGCCUUUCGAAAGAAAGAUUAAUACCCGAUGGCAUAGUUCUUCCGCAUGGUAGAACUAUUAAAGAAUUUCGGUCAUCGAUGGGGAUGCGUUCCAUUAGGUUGUUGGCGGGGUAACGGCCCACCAAGCCUUCGAUGGAUAGGGGUUCUGAGAGGAAGGUCCCCCACAUUGGAACUGAGACACGGUCCAA